CUCAGGAGACUGCCGUGGAUAACACGGAGGAAGGUGGGACGACGUCAAGUCAUCAUGGCCUUUAUGUCCAGGGCUACACACGUGAUACAAUGGUGCAGACAGAAGGUUGCAAGACCGUAAGGUGGAGCCAAUCCCUAAACUGCACCCUAGUUCAGAUUGAGGGCUGCAAUUCGCCCUCAUGAAGCUGGAAUCGCUAGUAAUCACAGAUCAGCAGGCUGCGGUGAAUACGUUCCCGGGCCUU
rnacentral:rRNA from 1 species